UAAGUCCAAAAAAAUCUGCUUGAAAUCAUUUCAAUUUUGUUCUAGUAAAAUAUAUGUUCAAAAACCCUCCCCUUAUCAGCCACAUACGCCGCACCCCCAAACGGAGAACAAAGGCGAUCCCGACCCCCUCCUGGGCCCGAUCUCAACGACGGAAGAAACUCCGACUUCCACGUGACCACCGGAAGUCAGGUGCGUGGUGGGCGUGGACUCUGACGUGGAGGUGCGAGUAGUGCGGGCGUGGAGGCGGAGGCCAUGUGUGGCAGGGGUAGUUGGUGGUUACGGCGCAAGGGAACCCGAGGGUUCCUGAGAGAGAUUGAUCUUGGGGCCAUUUGGGCCGAUACAAAUUUUGGGUCUAGGUUUUAGGUUUAUUUGGGCUUGAUUCUUGGGGGUUAGUGUGUUAAUUUUUGUGUUGGGUAUGUAAUUUGGACUUUGUUUUUUAUUUAGUUUGCUUUUGUUUUGGUUUGGGUAUUAUUCUGAGCCAGGCGAAAUGAGCUGUCUACAAUAAUUUUACUAUAAUGAAAAAAAAGAUUGAGAUAAAAAUUAAA